CGGAUUUUGAGGGGAGGUGUGUGGAGAGAUGUGCACCUCCCCUCAUACAGUCAUAAUUCAUUAAUACACUGGUACAUAUGUACACUACAUGCAUACCUCACCUCGUUGAUAUUGGCCUGUUGUACAAUAAGCCCUAACUUUCCAUGGGGGUUGUGAGCUUGACCGCUGCACCUCCCCUAAAUUUUUUUUCCACCUCCCCCACUAUUUUCAUCAAAAUCUGGCCUUGAUCUAAAAUUAGUCUAUAAUGGGAAUUGUCUAUUUACAUGAACAUAAGAGACUUUUUGUUUGACUUCCAUUUAUCAAUAUUAAAGGUGUAUAAACAUUGUUAAUAUUUGUUGUUAAGUUGUUUUGUUACAUUUUUCAAACUGUUUUUUCAAACUGGUAAAUCUUUUCAAAGCCUCACCUUCUUUCGUCUCUCUGUAGUUUUUCAAAGCCCCCCUUUCAGUAUUUCACAUUUCACGCCAACAAAUAUCAAAUUGACCAUUCACGGCUCACGACAAUACCCUUUCCCACCCUCAUGUAUGUAUGUUGACCGAGC